AUUGAACGCUAGCGGCAGGCCUAACACAUGCAAGUCGAACGAGUGGCGGACGGGUGAGUAAUGUCUGGGAAACUGCCUGAUGGAGGGGGAUAACUACUGGAAACGGUAGCUAAUACCGCAUACCAUCGGAUGUGCCCAGAUGGGAUUAGCUAGUGGGUGGGGUAACAGCUCACCUAGGCGACGUUCCCUAGCUGGUCUGAGAGGAUGACCAGCCACCCUGGAACUGAGACACGGUCCGGACGCCUACGGGAGGCAGCAGUGGGGAAUAUUGCACAAGGGGCGCAAGCCUGCUGCAGCCAUGCCGCGUGUAUGAAGAAGGCCUUCGGGUUGUAAAGUACUUUCAGCGGGGAGGCGUUACCCGCAGAAGAAGCACCGGCUAACUCCGUGCCAGCCGCCGCGGUAAUAC
rnacentral:rRNA from 1 species